AUUGAACGCUGGCGGCAUGCCUUACACAUGCAAGUCGAACGGCAGCAUGGAGAGCUUGCUCUCUGAUGGCGAGUGGCGAACGGGUGAGUAAAGCAUCGGAACGUACCCUGUAGUGGGGGAUAACGUAGCGAAAGUUACGCUAAUACCGCAUCCGCACUGAGGUGGAAAGCAGGAGACCGUAAGACCUUUCGCUAUAUGAGGGGCGGAUGUCAGAUUAGCGAGUUGGGAGGUUAGAGGACUACCAAGGCGACGAUCUGUAGCGGGUCUGAGGGGGUGAUCCGCCAUACUGGGACUGAGACACGGCCCAGACUCCUACGGGAGGCAGCGGUGGGUAAUUUUGGACAAUGGGGGCAACCCUGAUCCAGGCAUGCCGCGUGAGUGAAGAAGGCCUUCGGGUUGUAAAGCUCUUUCGGCCGGGAAGAAAUCGCACAGGCUAAUACCCUGUGCGGAUGACGGUACCGGCAUAAGAAGCACCGGCUAACUACGUGCCAGCCGCCGCGGUAACAC
rnacentral:rRNA from 1 species